rnacentral:rRNA from 1 species
AGGUCCGGCUGGGGAGCGGAACGGCAUGGGAGGGCCGGCCGCAGCGGGUGACAGCCCCGUACGCGAACCCAGACCGGACGGCGCGACGCGGUCCCUGAGUAGGGCCGGGCACGUGAAACCCGGUCCGAACCUGGGUGGACCACCAUCCAAGCCUGAGUACUACCCUGUGACCGAUAGCGCACCAGUACCGUGAGGGAAAGGUGAAAAGCACCCCGGGAGGGGAGUGAAACAGUACCUGAAACCGUGCGCCCACGAGCAGUCGGAGCACCUUUAUGGUGUGACGGCGUGCCUUUUGUAGAAUGAGCCAGCGAGUCGCUGGCGCGGGGCGAGGUUAACCGAAAGGGAGCCGGAGCGAAAGCGAGCCUUAACAGGGCGACUUGAGUCCCGCGCCGCGGACGCGAAGCCGGGUGAGCUAUCCGUGGGCAGGCUGAAGCGGGGGUAAGACCCCGUGGAGGGCCGAACGCACGUCGGUUGAAAACGGCGGCGAUGACCUGCGGAUAGGGGUGAAAGGCCAAUCAAACCCGGAGAUAUCUCGUUCUCCCCGAAAUAGCUUUAGGGCUAGCGUCGCGCGUUCACCGCCGGAGGUAGAGCACCGGAUGGACGAGGGGGCUUCGCCGCCUACCGAAUCCAACCGAACUCCGAAUGCCGGCGGCCCAGAGCGCGGCAGUCAGAGCAUGUGGGCUAAGCUGUGUGCUCGAGAGGGAAACAGCCCGGACCGCCCGCUAAGGUCCCCAAGUUCCAGCCGAGUGGCAAAGGAUGUGCGUCCGCCCAGACAACCAGGAUGUUGGCUUAGAAGCAGCCAUCCAUUCAAAGAGUGCGUAACAGCUCACUGGUCGAGUGGACAUGCGCCGACAAUACACGGGGCUAAGCUGGACACCGAAGCGGCGGGAUUUUAAUUCAUUAGAAUCGGUAGGGGAGCUUCCCAUGGGCGGAGAAGCCGGAGGGCGACCGACGGUGGAGCGCAUGGGAGUGAGAAUGCUGGCAUGAGUAGCGAGAGACGAGAGAGUAACUCGUCCGCCGUGAACCCGAGGUUUCCUGGGCAAGGCUAAUCCUCCCAGGGUCAGUCGGGGGCUAAGGCGAGGCCGGUAGGCGUAGCCGACGCGCAGCAGGCAGACAUUCCUGCACCGCGCACGCGGCGCUACGACCGACGGGGCGACGGAUGGGGGUGGCUCGGCGGGGUUCUGGACGUCCCCGUGAUGGAGCGCGGCCCGCGGACCAGGGAAAUCCGGUCCGCAGAAGGGCGAGGCUCCGGACGAAGCGACUGAGCGAAGCGAGUGAGCCCGAGGUCCCUAGAAAAACCCCUAGGCAGGCGCGUGCGCGCCCGUACCGCAAACCGACACAGGUGGGUGGGUAGAACAUACCGAGGCGAUCGGGUCAACCAUGGUCAAGGAACUCGGCACAAUGGCCCCGUAACUUCGGGAGAAGGGGUGCCCGCGCGUACGUGAACGGACUUGCUCCGGGAGCGGAGGCGGGCCGCAGUGGAGAGGCCCAAGCGACUGUUUACCAAAAACACAGGACUCUGCAGAAGCCGCAAGGCGACGUAUAGGGUCUGACGCCUGCCCGGUGCCGGAAGGUCACGCGGAGGAGUUAGCCGAUUCGGCGAAGCCCCGAAGCCAAGCCCCGGUAAACGGCGGCCGUAACUAUAACGGUCCUAAGGUAGCGAAAUUCCUUGUCGGGUAAGUUCCGACCUGCACGAAAGGCGCAACGACUUGGGCGCUGUCUCGACCAUGGACCCGGUGAAAUUGCACUGGUCGUGAAGAUGCGACUUACCCGCGGAAGGACGGAAAGACCCCGUGAACCUUCACUGCAGCUUGGCAUUGGCCGCUGGUCCCGCGUGUAGAGGAUAGGCAGGAGGCACAGAUCCGGAGGCGCCAGCCCCCGGGGAGCCGCCCUUGGAAUACUGCCCUCGCGCGACCGGCGUCCUAACCCGAGGCCGUCAACCGGCUCGGGGACCGUGCCAGGCGGGCAGUUUGACUGGGGCGGUCGCCUCCUAAAGGGUAACGGAGGCGCGCGAAGGUCCGCUCGGGACGGUCGGCAACCGUCCUUUUGAAUGCAAGAGUACAAGCGGGCUUGACUGCGAGGCCCACAAGCCGAGCAGGUGCGAAAGCAGGCUCUAGUGAUCCGGCGGCCCCGAGUGGGUGGGCCGUCGCUCAACGGAUAAAAGGUACUCCGGGGAUAACAGGC